AGACGUCUACAUUAGAUACCCCCGUAGUCCCAGCCGUAAACUAUGCGCGUUAGGUGUAUCGGUGACCACGAGUUACCGAGGUGCCGAAGGGAAACCGUGAAACGUGCCGCCUGGGAAGUACGGUCGCAAGGCUGAAACUUAAAGGAAUUGGCGGGGAGCACCACAACAGGUGGAGCCUGCGGUUUAAUUGGACUCAACGCCGGGAAGCUCACCGGAUAGGACAGCGGAAUGAUUGCCGGGCUGAAGACUCUGCAUGACUAGCUG
rnacentral:rRNA from 1 species